rnacentral:rRNA from 1 species
UACGUAGGGGGCAAGCGUUGUCCGGAAUCAUUGGGCGUAAAGCGCGUGUAGGCGGCCAGGUAAGUCCGUUCUGAAAGCCCGGGGCUCAACCCCGGGAGGCGGAUGGAUACUGCUUGGCUCGAGUCCGGAAGAGGCGAGUGGAAUUCCCGGUGUAGCGGUGAAAUGCGCAGAUAUCGGGAGGAACACCAAUGGCGAAGGCAGCUCGCUGGGACGGUACUGACGCUGAGACGCGAAAGCGUGGGGAGCAAACCGG